rnacentral:ncRNA from 2 species
GGGUGCCCGGUCCUGUCGGCCGGUCAGGUUUAACGUUGGUCGGGCCGCCAGCG